UCCUCAAUUCAAGUUCCAUCAAAACUUUACACCAUAGAUUUAUUAUUCUGAGAUUCUAUAAUCCAAACCCUAACCAUGCCCUUCCCAAUUUCCAUCGAACCCUUCUCAAACCUCAAUCUCACCCAACGAGACAAGCCAUCACCGUCAUUUCAUCACGCCCUAUUCUCGUUUCCUGUUCUCUUUGGUCGGAGUUGCUGCAAGCGAUUGAGAUCCGUUGUGAACCACCACACAUCUUAUCACCUCUAAUGGCAGCAUUGUUCACCAGCUUAUAGAACAUAUAUGUAGAAAUUGGCAAACUUUUUUGUUUUGUUUAUUGAUUGGUGAUGUUUUGAGAUUGAAAUUAGAAUUUAUUAGAGUUUGUGAGAUCUUUUAUAAUCUUAUGUAUAGUGAUUAUGAUUGUUUGGUUAGUUGACUAUUGGUUGGCUGUGGGCAAAUCGAAUUGAAAGGGACCCCAAAUUUGAAAAGAAUUUGUAACCUAAAAUUCACUUUCGGUGUGCCACUUUCCUUUACUUUUCAAUUUUGCUCUUCGAUUCCAUUCCAUUCCCAAUUAACACAUUCUUGUUGUUAAUGGAUCCGAAAAACAAAGAGCUAGUGUAUUCUAGUCGCUAUUCAUCUGGGAAUGGGUUGGUACAGAAUGGGUCGGUGGGUUAUUUUACAAAGUGGUUCUAUGGAGGUUGUUGUUGAUAGUUCUUUGUGUAUGGUUGGUGAUGAUGGAUUUUGGGUUCUUGGUAAAAGGAACCGGCCAUUUGAGGCUGUUACGGGUCAAAAGCUACCUGGUGGGUCUGAUGUGAUUUUUGUGGGUCAAUAAAUUGCUGGUAAUAAUCAACAGAAAAACUAGCAGAACUAGUGCUUUUGACAGACUGAUGGGGGUGUAAUAGUUCGUUGCCUAAUCGUGCUACAUCUGGACAGAAUGGUAGUGGUAUUAAUCCUAACUAUUGUGACGGGGAAUCGUAUAUUUAUCAGAAGCAAUUGCUACUAAUCCUGGGCAACAAAGUAUUAAUCUACACACACGUAAUGUUAAUUUAAAAAAUCCAGCUAUGGUUAGUGACAUAUAAUUAUGCACUUUACGCCCUAAGAAAUACUAGGUUGUUAAUUAUGCAAGGGUUUGUUAUUUAGUUUGCUAUAUUGAUUAAGUUUGUUUAAGUGAUUAUAUGUCAUCCAGUUGCCAAAAAAGAGUAACAGAAUGCUUCUCACUUCGCAAGGUCGUGUUUAACUCAUGGACUCACAGUAAUAACAAACAUGUUUGUUAUACACAUAAACUACACUAUCUGCAUUGUAUUAUAUAUCUUGAUUCUUAACUUGCAGAUCUUAUUGAUAGAGUUUAAGAACUUUCCUUUGUUGUUUGCAGAAACCCUUAAUGCAAUUCAAGAGUUAACUUAAGCAAGUAAGUAUUUGGUUAACUUGUAUUUCUUUGACAUUGUUAUCGUACAAUAGUUCUUUAUAUUUAAUCACCGAUGUUUGUAUACUCACUUGAUAUGAAAUCUGUUACUUGCAUCGGUCUAUAUAUAUGACAAUAUCACAGGAUACCUAUGAACAUGUUGUUGUUCUUAGUGUAGAGAUAGAAGAUUAAGAUGCAUUUGAGAGAUAUUUCUUUCAGCUGAAGAAAUACUUUACAGAUGUUAGUGAUUUUCUCUCACAUUCCCCACCGGAGUACCCAAAUUUUGGUCUCACAUCUUUUGAGCAAUCACACAUGGAAGGUGCUUAUAAUCAUGCAUUGAAUGCUAGACAAAUGGUACCCCAUAAAACUAAUGUUUAUAUCAUGGAUCUUUUGGCAAGGACGCUUAAUGAGAAGACUUAUAGCUCUCUAUGGGUUGAAGAUGCUUGACAAAUGCUAUUGGUCUCUUCAGACGACCAAAACCUUUUUGAAUACAUCAAAUAGGUACAAAUUCAAACCUCGUAUUUAUUAUUUAUAACUUGACACUAGAGGUGCAAACGAGCCGAGUAGCUCGACUGAAAAAGAAAGCUCGAACGAGCCAGGCUUAAACACGCCAAGCCCGAGCCUAGGAAUCGCUUAAACACUUGAACUCUUGGUCUUUUGAGCUUUGUUAUACCUUUGAACCGGGACUAUACGCAACCCCAGGCGAGUACAUAGUUCCCCUCUUUUAC